GUGACCUGCGGAGGAUCAUUAUUGAAUAAACUUGGUUGGGCUGUUGCUGGCUCCUUGGAGUAUGUGCACGCCUAGCGCCAUUUUUACCACCUGUGCACCUUUUGUAGAUCCAGAUAUCUCUCGAGGAAAACUCGGUUUGAGGACUGCUGUGUGAAAGCCAGCUUUCCUUGCAUUUCUGGGUCUAUGUUUUUAUAUAUACCCCAUAAGAAUGUAACAGAAUGUUGUUUACUGGCCUUUUGUGCCUUUAAUCAAAUACAACUUUCAGCAACGGAUCUCUUGGCUCUCGCAUCGAUGAAGAACGCAGCGAAAUGCGAUAAGUAAUGUGAAUUGCAGAAUUCAGUGAAUCAUCGAAUCUUUGAACGCACCUGGCGCUCCCUGGUAUUCCGGGGAGCAUGUCUGUUUGAGUGUCAUUAAAUUCUCAACCUUUCCAGCUUUUCCAAGCUUGGUUAGGCUUGGAUGUGGGGGUUGCGGGCUUCUCAGAAGUCGGCUCCCCUUAAAUGUAUUAGUGAAACUUUUGUUGAUCAUCUCUUGGUGUGAUAAUUAUCUACACCAUUGGAGUGUCAGCCUCAACUCUGUUGAGAGGUUCUGCUUCUAACCGUCCCCUUUAAGGGACAACUUCUGACCUUUUGACCUCAAAUCAGGCAAGACUACCCGCUGAACUUAAGCAUAUCAAUAAGCGGAGGAAAAGAAACUAACAAGGAUUCCCCUAGUAACUGCGAGUGAAGCGGGAAAAGCUCAAAUUUGUAAUCUGGCGGGCUCCGCCCGUCCGAGUUGUAAUCUAGAGAAGCGUUAUCCGCGCUGGACC
rnacentral:rRNA from 1 species